rnacentral:rRNA from 1 species
UACGAGGGGGGGCUAGCGUUGCUCGGAAUCACUGGGCGUAAAGGGUGCGUAGGCGGGUUUUUAAGUCAGAGGUGAAAUCCUGGAGCUCAACUCCAGAACUGCCUUUGAUACUGGGAAUCUUGAGUAUGGAAGAGGUGAGUGGAACUGCGAGUGUAGAGGUGAAAUUCGUAGAUAUUCGCAAGAACACCAGUGGCGAAGGCGGCUCACUGGUCCAUAACUGACGCUGAGGCACGAAAGCGUGGGGAGCAAACAGG